rnacentral:lncRNA from 1 species
CUUGUAAAUGAACAACUCAAAUGGGACUUUCAAAUUUGGCAUAUUGACUUUUGAAGCAAAACAAGCUUAUUAUUUGAAUUUCCCAAAGUAUAGUUAAAAGCUCUAGAGUCACAAUUCCAGCUUUGCUUCUGCCCAGCUCAGUGACCUCAGGUAAGUCAAUUAUUUAUUCAAUACCUUAGUUUCCUCAUCUAUCAAGCUGGUUGAAAAUUAACCUGCUCUACUUAAUGCAUGAAGUUGGUGUAAGAAUUAAAUGAGAUAUGUACAGAAAAUAUUUUUUAAAAGACUGAAGUACUAUCAAAAGCAAAUGUUAUUGUUGACUUUAGCCAGAAACACAAAGUAUCCUGUAUCUUGCAACAGGAACACAUUCUUGGCUCUGAUCUUUAUUCACACCAUCAAAAAAUGUCACUUAGCCUGCUUAUCUCCCUGUUGAACUCAUUAGCUGAAUUAUUAAUAGUUCCUCUGAAAUUCAGGUAGUAACUUCUAUUUUAUUUUGCAUUUUUACAGAACCUACCUAUAAGACUGAAAAUGCUAAUUUUAAACAAUAAACAAUAAGCAAAUCAGGCCACUUAAACACAGAACAUAUUGCUUCCCACACUCUGUAUUAGGGGCUGCAAAUAUCAAGGAGACUGUGGUGAACUGAGAAGCGUAAGUCUAGUGUAAAGGGGGCAAAUUCCGAGUCACCUUUAGUCAAUUGCUAUCAUUAAAAAAUUUAGGUCACCAUAGCCAGAUAUUUUGAUUUUUAUGAUUACAAUUUAGACUUUUAUGUAAAAUAUCUUGAUUUUUAAAUGUAGGGAACUGUUUCAAUCAGGAAAAUCUAGAUUACGCUGUAGGGGCAAAUCUUAGUGGUUUUAAACCACAAAGGUUUAUUUUUCAUUAAUGCCAAGUGCCAACUAAAGGCUAACAGAGAGGUUCUGCUGAUUAGUCUCUCAAGGCUCUAGGCUGACUGUACAGUCAGUAUUCAGUGUUGCUGGCCACCACAACACAAGGAGAAGAGAGAGGUCAGGAAGGUCUUGCUAUAGCAAUUAACUGCUGACCCAGUAGUGACAUAACACUUCUGCUCACAAUGCAAUGGCUAACCUAGUACAUGGACCUACCCCCAAACAAAGGCAACAGGUAUAGCUGGCUUAGCAAAUAACACAAUGAUUAUCACCAUUAUUAACUAAAAGAAAUGUAAAGAUUGGAUAAAAGAAAGAGAGACAAAGAAGAAAGAAAGGAAUGAAAGAGGGAGGGAGGGAAGAAGGGAAAGAAAGGAAGGCAGGCAGGAAGAAAGGAGGGAAAAAAGAAAGAAGGGGAAAGAAAGGAGGCAAAGCUGAAAAGCCACAUACAUUUUUGGGUUAAAUUAAGCUAAUGGGCUACCAGUUUGUGAUAUAUACUCCAUAUCCUUUAUUUAAGCCCUGCUCCCUCCACCUCAGAAAACUAUCAUUUGAAUCAUAUGUUGAUUAUUCUCUUCCUUCUCUAAUAGUCAUAUUGCAUCUACAAAUAUUUCUAAAAAGUAUUUACUUAGUUGUUUGACUUUAUAAAAAGGGUUUUGUGCUGUACAUCUGUUUUACUUAAUAUUACACUGUCAAUAGUCAUUCAUAUUGUCUAUGUUUCAGCAGUCAUUCAUUUUGUUGUAUAACAUUUCAUUGUGUGAAUAAACCAGAGUCUAUUGAUCUUCUUCCACUGAUAGACAUUUAGGUUGGUUACAGGUUUUUGCUUUUGUAAAUUUCAAUAAUGUGUCUCUUAUUUUACAUGUACAAGAAUUUGCUUUGGAUAUUAUCUAAGAACUACUGAGUCACAAAAUAUAACUUUAGAAGAAAUGUGAAAAUGCUUUCCAAAGUGUGCUCCCUCUAGUAAUGUAUAAGAUCCUGUGGAUGCACUUUCUCUUCAAUACACGAUACUGUCAGAUGUUUUAAUUUUUGUCAAUCAAAUGGGUGUAAAAUAGUACCUCACUGUAUUCUUGAUUUGUAAUUCUCUGCUCCUUGGUGGUGAUGAGCAUCUCUUCAUAUUUCCUUUUCUAGGAAAUAUCUAUUCAUGUCUUUUGUUGACUUUUCUUUUGUCUUGUAUUUUUUAUAUAUCAGCAGAAAACAAUUAGAAAAUACAAUUAAAGAGAAUAUAUUUCAAUACCAGAAAUUAUUACUUAUCUAGGAACAAAUCUAACAAAAAGAUGUUUAGUACCUCUAUAGGGAAAACUCUAAAAUUUUAUUGAGAAUUUAAACAAGUACUAAAUAAACGGAGACAUAUACCACGUUAGUGGCAAUGUUAAUAAUAUGAAGAUGAAAUUGAUCUAAAGAUUCAAUGCAAUUACAAUCAAAAUUCCUAAUGGGUUUUCCAUUAAAUUUGGUAAAAUUAUUAAAAUUUUUAUAUGAAAAGAUAGAAGGUCAAGAAUACUGGCUGGGUGCAGUGGCUCACACCUGUAACUACUAUACUAAGUAUAGUAAGAAACUAAUUUCUUAAGACAUGGAAAUGUUGGCUAUUAAAAAAAGGUUGACAUAUUUGAAUACAUUAAAAUUAAGGCCUGGAGUGGUGGCUCAUGCCUGUAAUCUCAGCACUUUGGGAGGCUGAGGAAGAAUUUCUUGAACCCAGGAGUUUGAGACCAACCUAGGCAAAAUAGCAAGAUCCUAUCCCUACAGAAAAAAAAAGAAGAAAGAAAGGAAGAAAACUAGCAUGGUGUAAUGGCACACAGCUGUAAUCCCAGCUACUUGGAAGUCUGAGGCAGGAGGAUCGCUUGAGCCCAGGAGUUCAAGGUUAUAGUGAACUAUGAUCGUGCUACUGCACUUCAGCCUGGGCAACAGAGUGAAAGCCAGUCUCAAAAAAUAAAAUACUUUGUUCAUCAAAAAGAUAAAAGUGAAAAGAUAACUUAAAAACUGGGAGAAGAUAUUCAUAAUGUAACUGGCAAAGAAUCAGUAUGAAGAAUAACUCUUCUGAAUAAAUAAUUUAACUAAAAAUUGACAGCAUGUGGCUGUACUGUUUUCUUCCAAUUUUUCAUUAUGAAAUAGACCAUACAUCAAAUAUAUGCAUGUGUUACACUCAUAAACACACACACUCAGUCUUCCAACCUAUAUGAUUAAAAAGAAAGUUUAAGAAAUAAAAUAUGACAGUAGUAGAAGUAACUACUCUUUAAGGAUAGACAUAAUCCUCCUUUUAGAAGAGAGAAUUUAUUUCCUGUCUCCCAAGUUAUAUGACUUGCUUUUGGUAAAUAAAAGUAGGAGUGUCACAUGUCAUUUACUGGUGAAAGGAUUUAAUUGCCAAUGUUCAAUUUUCAAUCUUCUUUUCUUCCUACUAUGGUAAACUCCUACAAGACAGCACCAAAAAACGGAGUGACUGUGCAACACAGUCACCUGCCAAACCCACAUUAAACAUGAAACGAGUGAAAACCAAAUCUUUAUUUUAAACAAUUGACUUAUUAGGGCUAUUUGUUACUUUAGCUUAACUUGUCUUAACCUGAUUUCAUAAAUACCAAUACCUCUGAAAUUCCCUCUCCCUGAUCACAUUCCCACGCCUCCCCACUAUAUACAAUCAUACGUCACUUAACAAAGGGAUACAUUCUAAGAAAUGUGUUGUAAGGCAAUUUUGUCCUUGCGCAAACAUCAGAGAGUGUAUUUACACAAACCUAGAUGGUACAGCCUACUAUAUACUUAGGCUAUAUGGUACAGCCUUUUGCUCCUAAGCUCCAAACCUGUACAGUAUGUCACUAUACUGAAGACUGUAGGCAACUGUAACAACGGUAUUUGUGUAUCUAAACAUAGAAAAAGCAUAGUAAAAACAGGGUAUUAUAAUAUUACCAGACCAUCACCAUAUAUGUGGUCCGCUGCUAACUGAAAUACUGUUAUUGAGUGCGUGACUGUAUAUAUUAUAUAUACAGCUAGCUGAUCCUUGGUAUAUGAGGAUAAUUGGUUCCAGGAUCCCCAUGUAUACCAAAAUCUGUGCAUACUCAAGUCCCACAGUUGGCGCUGUGAAGACCACAUACACCAAAAGUUGGCCCUCCAUAUACUCAGGUUUUGCAUCCCCCAAAUACUGUAUUUUUUAAAUGCACAUUUGUGUAUAAGUGAACCAUCACAGUUCAAACUUGUGUUGUUCAAGGGCCAAGUGUAACUACAUAUACUGUAUUAACAAACAUUUUAAUGCAUGUGGCUACAGUUAAUACUAAUAUAUUCCCACCAGCUGUACAGUAGCCCGCUAGAUGAGUAUACCACAAUUUAUUUAUCCAUUCCCUUGUUAAUGGACACUUUGGUUGUUUCCAACUUCUUAAUAUUAUAAACAAGACUAUUAACAACUUUCUUGACUAUGUUCCUCAAUGCCCAUACAGGGGUCUCCAGAGUACUACUGUCCUUAUUUUUCCUGGCAACCAACUCCAUCUUCCUAAAUUAUUCAAUAAAUUUUUAAAGAUAGAGAACAGCUAGAAAUGGCUUUAAAAUUAAAGGGCCAAAUCCUCUAAUUUUACAAAUAAGGAAUCCAAGGAGAAAAGAUUUAGAGGAAGAGCUGGAAGUUCUAUAUGCCAAUCACUGUGUUUAGCUACGGGUAUACAAGGAGGUUAAGAUAUUUUCCGUCCUCGAGGUGGUCACGGACUAGCGAUUUGGUUUCCACACUACAGUGGGCCUUGAAGUUCAGGUCCUCACCAUCCUCUAUCUACCCCCGGUUGCAAAGAUAUUUCAAAAUAUACUUCUACAUAAUGAAUAUGUUGUUUAAUUUAGAUUUUUAUAUUAAGUCAUCUUUACCCUGGAAAAUGCGCCUCUGCUAACACACAAACUUUGUGAAAUCUUCCCAAGCUCCAUCCAAUCCCCGGCAGAGUGAGGUUCCUCUUGUCUCUGAAGCAAGUUCUUGCAAUAUCUACUAUCACAUAACUUUGUGGUUUGUCUCCUCAUGAGUCUACUGGAGUCAGACCAGAGGCCAGGGCACUUGUACCCUGUAUAUCAAAGUAUGUGAAUGGAUGUUGAAAACACAAAGCAAAAGAAUUUGAGUAUAUCAAGCAACACAGAGUCAGUUAACUACAUAGCUUAGCCUAACCUUUAUGAUAGAGUUUUUAAAGUCCCCUGGACCAGUCAAAAUGUCCCCAGUCGAUAUAAUCUACAUUGGCCCUAUCUUACUAAUUUACUUCUUUUCCCACUUGUCUGCCCUAGAUUAUUCUCAUAUUUAUGCUAAAAAUGCACAAGCUACCAGAGCAACAUCCAAUUUCCCCACAAACGCUAACAAAAGGUUUACUUCAUUUGCUACCAAAAUAAAGUAUUUGAAUUAAGGUACCAAGAGUGAUGUACACUUCUUACAGAAAUUGUGUGUACUACCACGAUAACCAUACAGAUCACUGCGAAAUUUCAACCACAAGCAAAGUGCAAUUAAUAUUACUAAGUUUUCCACCAACAAUCAGCAAACUUAAUUCCUUCCACAACAACAAAAAAAUUGUACAAGCCCAUUCAAUGAUUACUCUAUAAAGCCAGAGAGAGAAGCACAAGGUUAGCUUACUCCAAAGUCAGUAAGACUGUAUGUAUAUAAACAUAUAAAGUCUUCACAUCUACCCUCUCAAAGACCCUUUUGGUUUGCUGAUUCUCAAAAAUUGGGAAGUACUGCAAAAAUCAUCUGGCAACCAGAAGUGAAUGCAACACUCCAGAUGAAUUGUGAAAAGUACCGAAUUUUUGCCUUUAUUCAGACGCCUGUGCUCCUUUUUUCCAACCAUCUGCUUCUAUAAAUUCAUCACAAUUCUAAUACGGUGUGCGCCCCUCCUCCUUCCCUUACCCUGACCCUAACCUUCCAACCGUUGAUUCCUGCAGCAAUCUUCCCUAAGGGAGACACCCCGGCUGUAGGCUCACUUCCUCUCCCAAGUCCCAUUCCUUUCACAAGAGUCAAAUCCCUACAGUGGAUUCCUGGACCGUUUUUUCUAAAAGAAGAUCCCAGUCCUCUGGCUUGCCCCUCCCGUCGUGACUCCCAUAUUUGAUGGGUCUGAAUGAAAAUCUGAUGAAACAGAUGUUACUUGAAGCUGAGUGACUUUCUCAGGGUCAAGCAAAUAAGUAAAUGGAGGAGCCAGAAUUAUACCCCAGGAUCCCCAUCACAAGGAGGGGAGGGCUACCAUCCCAGCUGCAAACUCUCAUUCAAGGUUUAUGCUGCAGCCAGCAGUGUCCUUGGAGUCUAGUUCAAAGCUGAAGAGAGUGAACCAUGGAACUGGGAGCCAUUGGCGGAGAGGCUGGCCUGAAGGAAGGGAAGUGUUUCAGCCAGAAUGUACUGACGCACAACCAGGAAACCACAAGACUGAGUAACUACCAGUUGCCAUGAAAUAAAUCACAUCAUCAUAUGGCAGAUCCAGCUAAUAGCUGAGACUGGCAGGAUAACUGAACCGUGUACUCAGAGCUAAAUGAUGGAGAAAUUGGACUGGCCAUGGAGCACUUCAAAUUGAUUGCUUAGUAAUGGGAUAUUUUUCCUGGAAAGACAACAGAAUACUUCUGAAUUGUUGGUUCUGUCAUGGGUACAGGCUCCCAUGUACAGGAAAAUAAAGAAAGUGUGAUGAAUUUUUCAUCUGGCCUUCUGCCUACUUUCUUGCUUUCUGCAUGUCUCCAUUUUUAGUCUGUAAGCCCUGCCUAGAUGACCAAUCACUAUUGCCCAUGUGGCAUAAAACCUACAAUUUAACUAUACUUCUUACCAAACUCUCAGCAAGUAUGAGGUAGCCAACAGCCUUUUCAAGAUAAUGACUGAGUCUUAGCUUAGGUUUCAGUCAUUUUAGGAAACAUAAAAAAUUCAAUGGUGGGAGAUCAUACACACUCUGCAAAGAUGUCAGAAGUCAAGUUUUGGGAGAGUCCACACACAAACUGAGCAGUGAUGGUAAAAUAUAUUUUUGAAAUAUUUCUCCUCUGUGACUGUUAUGUGAAGUAGAGCAAACACAUUGUGCUGCAGUGCUCUUUGGGACAUGCCUUUUUUGGGAAGUGCUAACUUUAUACUCUGCUGACACCAAACAUUUGAAUAUAAAACCUUAUUUUUUUCUCUCACUCUGCUCCACUUUUGGCUCAGCUUAUUCUACCAAAACACACUUCAAAAGACUUCUUUAUAGAAAGAAUGUUUCAAAAAUAUAAUAUUUCCAUCUGUUAUUUCAAUAAUACAUGCUCUGGGACUCUCUUUAUGAACCACUUUCCUUUCUUUGCUCCCAUUUAGAUGUAUAAAUAUUUGAUUGUAAAGCUCUAAGGAAUAGUCAGCCAAUCGGGUCACUGAAUUGUGAACAUUCCUAACCCUAUAAUUUUGUCUGUAGCAGGCACCUCCUGCUGUGGAACUAACUGCUAAGGGAUUAUAGCAAUGUAAUCCUCAGACUGUUCCAUCUCAAGGUUACUCUGAAGUGGAGGGAAGGAAGCCGUUUUAAUUUUGAUAAAAUAAACUUUAUUUUGUAACUUUAUUAUUUGUUUUUCUUUUUCCUUUCAACACUUCAUAAUAGAUGUGUCUGGUAAUUUGAAGUUAGCCUCUCUGGUUGAGGUGCCCUAAACCACCUCGUAUUAUUGUA